GCUGUAGGGUCCUUUUGGUGAGGGCGCGCGGGAAGCCGGGGUGCUCUCCCCGCAGAGGCGCGGCCGGGCCCGGGGCCUGCGGGCUGGGAGAGGGCAGUCGCCUUCCUCGCGCCCCGGGACCCUCGCCGCCUCCUCUCCCCGCCUCUGCAGACGCAGCCGGGCGCCUUCCUCCCGGAGGGCGGCUCGCGCACCCAGGCUCCGCGUCUUGUCCCAACAGAAAUGAAUGAAGACGCUGUUCCGGUUAACUCCAGGUCACGAGAACAGUGAGGCACUUCUGAAACGAACCCAUUAGGAACAUUGAAACAAAUAAAAAAAGCCCGCAUCUGGCAGCGCCCACUACAGGCUGCUGACGUAGACCCUGCUGUCCUGGAGCUCCUCCUCACUCAGUCGACCCCGCGCGCGCACACAGCCCGCGUCCUCUUCGCCCCCGGCUCGGUCCUGCCCCGCGUCCCUGCAGUUCACAAAGGGUAAGAGGGCGCCAUUGGGGCUCUGUGGGGCGCCCCCGCUGAGGAUGUUGUCGGCCGCGCUCUCCAUCUCCUCUAUGGUCAUGUCGCAGGCGUCGGCCAGCUCCUGGGUGGUGACCUCGAUGAACUUGGGAUCUUGAGCAAACUGCCCCAGUCCUUCUGAAAUCAAGACCUGAAGGAGCGGGGUGGGAGCCAUGAAGAACCAAAGGAACAUUAUUCCUGGAGCCCAGCUCUUCCCUUGAGGGCUAGAGCGAGGGGUAUCUGGGCCGUCCUGACCAGGGCAAACAGAGUGGCAUUGAACAUGACUGUCCCGUCGCUGUUCAGAGGCAUGUUCAUGGAGACCAGGCGCUGCAGGCGAAGAGAAGCAAAGCUGGUGAUGAUGGCAGGCGGUGCUUAGGGGACCGCAGAACACCGUGGCAGAGUGAUAUGGUUUGGAUCUGUGUCCUCGCCCAAAUCUCAUGUUGAAUUGUAAUCCCCAGAACUGGAGGUGGGGCCUGAUGGAAGGUGAUUGCAUCAUGGGGUGGAUUUCUCAUAAAUGGUUUGGUACCAUCCCCUUGGUGAGUGAGUUCUCAUGAGAUCUGCUUGUUUAAGUGUGUGGUCCCUCCCCCUUCUCUCUUGCUCCCUGUCUUUCCAUGUGAUGCACCUGCCUCCCCUUUGCCUUCCACCAUGACUGGAAGCUUCCUGAGGCCUCCCCAGAAGCAGAAUGCUAGUGCCAUGCUUCCUGUACAGCCUGCUGAACU
rnacentral:lncRNA from 1 species